rnacentral:rRNA from 1 species
AGAGUUUGAUCCUGGCUCAGAUUGAACGCUGGCGGAAUGCUUUACACAUGCAAGUCGAGCGGCAGCGCGGGGCAACCUGGCGGCGAGCGGCGAACGGGUGAGUAAUGCAUCGGAACGUACCCUGUCGUGGGGGAUAACUAUCCGAAAGGAUGGCUAAUACCGCAUACGACCUGAGGGUGAAAGCGGGGGAUCGCAAGACCUCGCGCGAUAGGAGCGGCCGAUGCCGGAUUAGCUAGUUGGUGAGGUAAAGGCUCACCAAGGCGACGAUCCGUAGCUGGUCUGAGAGGACGACCAGCCACACUGGGACUGAGACACGGCCCAGACUCCUACGGGAGGCAGCAGUGGGGAAUUUUGGACAAUGGGGGAAACCCUGAUCCAGCCAUUCCGCGUGAGUGAAGAAGGCCUUCGGGUUGUAAAGCUCUUUCGACAGGAACGAAACGGUGGGGGCUAAUAUCCCUUGCUAAUGACGGUACCUGAAGAAGAAGCACCGGCUAACUACGUGCCAGCAGCCGCGGUAAUACGUAGGGUGCGAGCGUUAAUCGGAAUUACUGGGCGUAAAGCGUGCGCAGGCGGUUUUGUAAGACAGAUGUGAAAUCCCCGGGCUUAACCUGGGAACUGCGUUUGUGACUGCAAGACUCGAGUGUGGCAGAGGGGGGUGGAAUUCCACGUGUAGCAGUGAAAUGCGUAGAGAUGUGGAGGAACACCGAUGGCGAAGGCAGCCCCCUGGGUCAACACUGACGCUCAUGCACGAAAGCGUGGGUAGCAAACAGGAUUAGAUACCCUGGUAGUCCACGCCCUAAACGAUGCCAACUAGGUGUUGGGGAAGGAGACUUCCUUAGUACCGUAGCUAACGCGUGAAGUUGGCCGCCUGGGGAGUACGGUCGCAAGAUUAAAACUCAAA